GGCAGCAGUAGGGAAUCUUCCGCAAUGGACGAAAGUCUGACGGAACAACGCCCCGUGAGUGAUGAAAGUUUUCGGAACGUAAAACUCUGUUGUUAGGGAAGAACAAGUACCGUUCGAAUAAGGCGGCACCUUGACGGUACCUAACCAGAAAGCCACGGCUAACUACGUGCCAACAGCCGCGGUAAUACCUAGGUGGCAAGCGUUGUCCGGAAUUAUUGGGCGUAAAGCCCGCGCAAGCCGUUUCCUAAGUCUGAUGUGAAAGCCCCCGGCUCACCGGGGAAGGUCAUUGGAAACUGGGGAACUUGAAUGCAAAGAAGAAAUGGAAUUCCACGUGUAGCGGUGAAAUGCGUAGAGAUGUGGAAGAACACAGUGGCGAAGCCACUCUUGGUCUGUACUGACGUUAAGCGCAAAGCGUGGGGAGCGACAGGAUAGAUACCCGGUAGUCCCGCCGUAAACAUGAGUGCUAAUGUUAGAAGGUUUCGCCCUUAAUGCUGCAGCAACGCAUUAACACUCCCCCGGGGAGUACGGUCGCAGACUGAACUCAAAGGAUUGACGGGGGCCGCACAACGGUGAACAUGUGGUUUAUUCGAGCACCGCGAGAACUUACCAGUCUUGACAUCUCUGACACCCUAAAAUAGGGCUUCCCUUCGGGGCGAAUGACAGUGGUGCAUGGUGUCCCCACCUCGUGUCGUGAGAUGUUGGGUUAAGUCCCGCAACGAGCGCAACCCUUGAUCUUAGUUGCCAGCAUUCAGUUGGGCACUCUAAGGUGACUGCCGGUGACAAACCGGAGGAAGGUGGGGAUGACGUCAAAUCAUCAUGCCCCUUAUGACCUGGGCUACACACGUGCUACAAUGGGCAGAACAAAGGGCAGCGAAGCCGCGAGGCUAAGCCAAUCCCACAAAUCUGUUCUCAGUUCGGAUCGCAGUCUGCAACUCGACUGCGUGAAGCUGGAAUCGCUAGUAAUCGCGGAUCAGCAUGCCGCGGUGAAUACGUUCCCGGGCCUUGUACACACCGCCCGUCACACCACGAGAGUUUGUAACACCCGAAGUCGGUGAGGUAACCUUUGG
rnacentral:rRNA from 1 species